CUACGGGUCGCUCCAGUGAGGAAUAUUGCACAAUGGGGGAAACCCUGAUGCAGCAACGCCGCGUGGAGGAUGACGCAUUUCGGUGUGUAAACUCCUUUUAUAUGUCAAGAAAAUGACGGUAGCAUAUGAAUAAGCACCGGCUAACUCCGUGCCAGCAGCCGCGGUAAUACGGAGGGUGCAAGCGUUACUCGGAAUCACUGGGCGUAAAGGACGCGUAGGCGGGUUGUCAAGUCAGGUGUGAAAUCCUACAGCUUAACUGUAGAACUGCACUUGAAACUGGCAGCCUAGAGUAUGGGAGGGGGAGAUGGAAUUAGUAGUGUAGGGGUAAAAUCCGUAGAUAUUACUAGGAAUAUCAAAAGCGAAGGCGAUCUCCUGGAACAUUACUGACGCUAAGGCGUGAAAGCGUGGGGAGCAAACAGGAUUAGAUACCCCCGUAGUC
rnacentral:rRNA from 1 species